AUUGAACGCUGGCGGCAGGCCUAACACAUGCAAGUCGAACGGUAACAGGAAGCAGCUUGCUGCUUUGCUGACGAGUGGCGGACGGGUGAGUAAUGUCUGGGAAACUGCCCGAUGGAGGGGGAUAACUACUGGAAACGGUAGCUAAUACCGCAUAACGUCGCAAGACCAAAGAGGGGACCUUAGGGCCUCUUGCCAUCGGAUGUGCCCAGAUGGGAUUAGCUAGUAGGUGGGGUAACGGCUCACCUAGGCGACGAUCCCUAGCUGGUCUGAGAGGAUGACCAGCCACACUGGAACUGAGACACGGUCCAGACUCCUACGGGAGGCAGCAGUGGGGAAUAUUGCACAAUGGGCGCAAGCCUGAUGCAGCCAUGCCGCGUGUAUGAAGAAGGCCUUCGGGUUGUAAAGUACUUUCAGCGGGGAGGAAGGGAGUAAAGUUAAUACCUUUGCUCAUUGACGUUACCCGCAGAAGAAGCACCGGCUAACUCCGUG
rnacentral:rRNA from 1 species